CUCAUAUAAAGAACACCUCUCAACUAGAAGCUCAGUCCAGUUCAUUGCGUACGCUGGAGGGAGCGAAGCUAACAUUCAGAGCAGCAGUUUAGGUUAAAUUACUUGUUUUUCGUCUCACUUCUCUAUCAACAGUUUAGAAUGAUCAGCCCAAGGGUGAUUAAAUUGAGGAAAAAUUUCAUCAUUAAAACCUGACGGACGAGUGAUCUCUUGUUGUCGACUAAUCUAGGCUUAUUUGCUGUUGUAGUGGACUCCGUGGCCGUGGACUCCGUAGCCAGCGACUCUAGGGAGAGAAGGUGAAUUGGAAGAGGCCGAGGUUUGUAUGUUCAUUGUAAUGACUGUGUUUAUUGCAGAUGUAUAACUUUAUGCUGUACUGUGAUGUUUUAUGCGACUGUAACUAUUGAGCAAUCCUGCUUGAGUCCGUAAACAAUAAACAAAAUAAACAUC